rnacentral:rRNA from 1 species
UAGAGCCACCCCGGGGGGGCCGGGUUUAUUUCCUAACGGGAAAUUCCAGUCAGACAUGUAGGAUGACAGAUGAUGCUUUCUGAUCUAUGGUGUGUGCAUGCCGUCUAGUGUGAGUGAUUGUCUGUUAAUCCGAUAACGAACGAGACCUUAACUGCUAAUUAGUCAUCCUCAUUUAUGGGCACGACUUCUUAGAGGGACUAUGCAUAUCAAGUGCAUGGAAGUUUGAGGCGAUAACAGGUCUGUGAUGCCCUUAUAUGUCUGGGCUGCACGCGUGCUACACUGAUGCAUACAACAAGGCCUAGCUAGACAUAGUAUGGCAAAUAUGGAAUAUGCAUCGUGAUGGGGGUGGGGUCUUGCAAUUAUAGAUCUUGAACGAGGAAUUCCUAGUAAGUGCAAGUCAUCAUCUUGCAUUGAUUAUGUCCCUGCCCUUUGUACACACCGCCCGUCGCUCCUACCGAUACCGGGUCAGGGGGGGGAACCUGUUGGACCUUUAUGGGAAAAAUAAGUAAAUCAUAUCACCCAGAGGAAGGAGAAGUCGUAACAAGGUUUCCGUAGGUGAACCUGCAGAAGGAUCAUAAUCGGAUCCCGGGCCCGUCGCGCAGAGGCCCCAGCAAGCUGCCAUAAGUGAGUCGUAUAGAGCUAGCGA